GAUGAACGCUGGCGGCGUGCUUAACACAUGCAAGUCGAACGAAGCACUUUAUUUGAUUUCCUUCGGGAUUGAUUAUUUUGUGACUGAGUGGCGGACGGGUGAGUAACGCGUGGGUAACCUGCCUUGUACAGGGGGAUAACAGUUGGAAACGGCUGCUAAUACCGCAUAAGCGCACAGCAUCGCAUGAUGCAGUGUGAAAAACUCCGGUGGUAUAAGAUGGACCCGCGUUGGAUUAGCUAGUUGGUGAGGUAACGGCCCACCAAGGCGACGAUCCAUAGCCGACCUGAGAGGGUGACCGGCCACAUUGGGACUGAGACACGGCCCAAACUCCUACGGGAGGCAGCAGUGGGGAAUAUUGCACAAUGGGCGAAAGCCUGAUGCAGCGACGCCGCGUGAGCGAAGAAGUAUUUCGGUAUGUAAAGCUCUAUCAGCAGGGAAGAUAAUGACGGUACCUGACUAAGAAGCACCGGCUA
rnacentral:rRNA from 1 species